AAUAAGGAUAACGAAAAUUCAUCCAAUGUAUCUGAACUUUUUGAAAAUGUACAGUGCGAUUAUUUUUUUUAAAUAAAUCGUUAAACCUGGUAAAUAUCGUUAUAUCGUUCAAUUGGCUUAAGGCAUACCGGGUUUUUCUUUCUCUACAUCCGAGUGUCCUCUAGCCGGUCAAUAAUUUAAUCAUCGGGAGGUAAAAAAAAAAAAAUAAAUCACAAAAAAUGAAGUCCGCAGAUUUAAUUUUCUAGAAAUAAUAAAUUUAGCAUCUAAAAACAAUCAG